AUUAUUAAUUUCCAAAAAUAAUAACCAAUCAAAAUCAACAUAUAAGAUUUGAUAUCUAAAUUUUAAUUAAUUUAAUUUAAUUAGAAAAAUAAAAUGCAUUAUUAAUUUCCAAAAAUAAUAACCAAUCAAAAUCAACAUAUAAGAUUUGAUAUCUAAAUUUUAAUUAAUUUAAUUUAAUUAGAAAAAUAAAAUGCAUUAUUAAUUUCCAAAAAAAUAACCAAUUAAAAUCAACAAAUUAGAUUUGAUAUCUAAAUUAUCAUAUUAAUUUUUUAUUAAUUAUUAUAGUUCACUUCUCAUCUUUAUAUGAUUCUAUUUUUGCCGAAAAAUAAUAUCAUCAUUAUAAAAAAAAUAAUUAGAGUUUUUUCGCAUAUGUCAUAAUUUGAAUUUUUAAAAACGAAUAUAAACUGUUCAAUACAUGAAAAAUAUUAUAACGGAUGAAAAAUAGAUUUAAGAAAACUUUCUACUGAGUAACGGGUCAUAAUUUGAAAUAUUUAUAUUCAAUUUCAUACAUAUUAUAUUGAAAAUUUAUAAUCUUAUAUACUACAAUAAUUAAUAACAUAUUAGAUGUGAUUCAAUUUUUAAUACAAGCUGGAAAAUCCUAGAAUUAACGGGUUUAGAUCGAUAUUAAUACAAGAUGGUAUACUACAUGUCAAACUCUUAAAUUAACAAUCAAACUACAAGUGUAUAAUCUUAAACACUAAACAAUAUAGAUAAUAUCAACAAAACAUAUACAACUCACAGUUUACUAUACAUUUAAAAUCAAAUAAAAUAAUAUCAUAUAUUUUUAAAUCAUCUUUACAAUAAAAGUUUUUAGUUUAACUAAAAUAUAAGCCUACUUGCGGUAUACUGCAGGUUAAAAUCUAGAUUAUAGGGCUUAUUGGAUCUAAAGACGGGUCAUCAAAGAUUUCCUAAACUGAAGCAAAAUAUACUGAAUAUUCAAAUAUCUAUCUAUUAUCAAAUUAUAAACAAAUAAGUUCGUAAACAAUUUAAUAUUUUAUUUA
rnacentral:sRNA from 1 species